CACACCGCCCGUCAAGCCACGAAAGUCGGGAGCACCCGAAGUCGUCGAUCCAACCCGCAAGGGAGGAAGGCGCCGAAGGUGAGCUCGAUGAUUGGGACUAAGUCGUAACAAGGGUAUC
rnacentral:rRNA from 1 species